rnacentral:lncRNA from 1 species
UAGUGCCCAUGUUUGCAACUCGAUCAUCAUGGAGGAUUCGAGCCUGAGUACUAAAGAUUGGUGAUGCAAAUAUGACUAAGAGUAUGAUAAGAGUUUUCUUAAGAAUUAAAUUCGCCAUAACAGGUGAUUAAGGAGAAAAGGUAAAUUGUGGAGUUUGCGAGAGAUCGAGAAAGAGAUAUGCAAAAUGAGAUGAAGCUGAGAGAAUAUGAUGAUUUGUGUGCAAUGAGACUUUUCUAUUUAUAGAUAAAAUUAGAGAGGCAAAAUAUGAUGAAGAUGUUAAGGAUUGAGUAGGUUGGGUCAGUGGAGAGAACAUGAUGGGAUCCACAACAAAAAUGAAAGCCAAAUCUGAGUCAUAUUUUUGUAUUAUAAAACUCAUGCACGGACACACAAAAGCACUAAUUACGAUACAGGUUAUUCAACUGACCCAACGAUCGAACUUCUCAGGUGAACAUCUAUAUUUGAGGGACCAUUAGGAAUUUACUUUACAUGUAUGGUUGAUUAAGGAUUUAAAAAGUUGGACAUAAGUUUUUUUUUGCCAAAUAUGUGAAUGUCAUAUUAAAAUGAUGCUAGUUUGUAAUGUAGAACUAGUUAGAGUCAACUAAAGCAAAAAAGAAUUAAAACAAGUUUGAGUGCAAUGUAGACAGCCUCGUACGCAUGCCCGAGCCACGCGCAUUAGGUGAUCAAAAGCUUUGUUUUCUUGUGUCCAAGGAUAGCAUCAUGGUUGAAUCGAUCCAACUGCUUGAAAAUUCCUUCUGGUGACAGAGCAGUGCCAUUGCGUAGUCUUCUAUUUCGAUUUGCCCGCAAACUAUUAAGGUUUACUAUAGUAUAAUAUAAAAUGUCAACUAGUCCAGACCCAUGUACCAUGAAAGAGAGUUUAAUAUACAUUAAUACAAAUGUAGAAUGUGUUUAGCAAUUUUAAAACAACACUAAAAAUCAUAGACUUCAUUAUAUAGAAUAUUUACCGAAAAUUCAAUAUUUUCGUAGGGGUUAACACAUAGAUUUUGAGAAAAAUUCAAAAAAAUGAAAAUUCUAUUUUAAUGCAUAGUUGCAUCCUUCACUAACAAAUGAUGAAGGUCAAAGAGGUUUGAAACCAUUGUUGUCUCCGUAUUUCUAGAAAAUAGCAAUUUUAUAGUGGUUUAUCAACCAAUAUGGGAGUAUUAUGAAGUUUUACUAAAUUAACUGACAAAAAAUUUAAUCGAUACCCAUGUACCAUGAAAGAGAGUUUAAUAUACUUUAAUACAGAUUUAUAAUGUGUUUAGCAAUUUUAAAACAACACUAAAAAUCUUAGGCUUUGUCAGGUCCUCCCGGUGAAACCCUGUCCGAAUUCACUAGAAAUCUCCUCUCGUUAUGACCUUUGAACUUGGAGAGAUCAAACCCGAGCUCCCGUAGCAGAACAUGACUAUCCAUAGUGCCCAUGUUUGCAACUCGAUCAUCAUGGAGGAUUCGAGCCUGAGUACUAAAGAUUGGUGAUGCAAAUAUGACUAAGAGUAUGAUAAGAGUUUUCUUAAGAAUUAAAUUCGCCAUAACAGGUGAUUAAGGAGAAAAGGUAAAUUGUGGAGUUUGCGAGAGAUCGAGAAAGAGAUAUGCAAAAUGAGAUGAAGCUGAGAGAAUAUGAUGAUUUGUGUGCAAUGAGACUUUUC